rnacentral:rRNA from 1 species
AGAGUUUGAUCCUGGCUCAGGAUGAACGCUGGCGGUCUGCUUAACACAUGCAAGUCGAACGGAGUAGAAAUACUUAGUGGCGGACGGGUGAGUAACGCGUGAGAAUCUAGCUUCCGGUUGGGGACAACCACUGGAAACGGUGGCUAAUACCAGAUGUGCCGCAACGUAAAAGAGGAAACUCGCCUUUUGAGGAGCUCGCGUCUGAUUAGCUAGUUGGUGAGGUAAAAGCUCACCAAGGCAACGAUCAGUAGCUGGUCUGAGAGGACGACCAGCCACACUGGGACUGAGACACGGCCCAGACUCCUACGGGAGGCAGCAGUGGGGAAUUUUCCGCAAUGGGCGAAAGCCUGACGGAGCAAGACCGCGUGAGGGAGGAAGGCUCUUGGGUCGUAAACCUCUUUUGUCAGGGAAGAACACAAUGACGGUACCUGACGAAUCAGCAUCGGCUAACUCCGUGCCAGCAGCCGCGGUAAUACGGAGGAUGCAAGCGUUAUCCGGAAUUAUUGGGCGUAAAGCGUCCGUAGAUGGUUUUGCCAGUCGGCUGUCAAAGCACAGGGCUUAACCCUGUAAAGGCAGUGGAAACUACAAGACUAGAGUGCAGUAGGGGCAGAGGGAAUUCCCAGUGUAGCGGUGAAAUGCGUAGAGAUUGGGAAGAACACCCGUGGCGAAAGCGCUCUGCUGGACUGCUACUGACAUUGAGGGACGAAAGCUAGGGGAGCGAAUGGGAUUAGAUACCCCCGUAGUCC